UUUAAAGUCUGACCUGCCCAAUGAAAUUUAAAUGGCCGCGGUAUUUUGACCGUGCAAAGGUAGCAUAAUAAUUAGUUUUUUAAUUGAAAGCUGGAAUGAAAGGUUGGACGAGAAAAUAACUGUCUCAAUUUAAUUUAAAUUAAAAUUUUAUUUUUAAGUAAAAAAGCUUAAAUUUUUUUAAAAGACGAGAAGACCCUAUAGAGCUUUAUAUAUUUAAUUUUAAUAAUAUUUUAGAUUAUUUUAAAGUUUUAUUUUUAAAUAUAUUUUAUUGGGGUGAUAGAAAAAUUUAAUUAACUUUUUUUUUAUUAAAACAUUAAUUUAUGAUUAGUUGAUCCAUUAUUUAUGAUUAUAAGAUUAAGUUACCUUAGGGAUAACAGCGUAAUUUUUUUUUAGAGUUCUUAUCGAAAAAAAAGGUUGCGACCUCGAUGUUGGAUUAAAAUUAAUAUUUGGUGUAGAUGCUAAAUUAUUAGGUCUGUUCGACCUUUAAAAUUUUACA
rnacentral:rRNA from 1 species